rnacentral:tmRNA from 1 species
GGGGCUGUAAAGGUUUCGACGGGGGGAGAGAGGCGUGAGCAGCGGGCCGUGGCGGUGCACCACGAUAAAAGCGCCAAACUUAAAUUAACUGACAACGAUUAUUCUGUUGCCGUCGCUGCCUAAUUAGGCGCGACCGUCCUGCCUGCAUCAGUACCGUGCAGGGCCAGGGCGUCGAUUAGGUACUGAACAUGAACGGGCUUGAGCUUGGCCGCCCGUCAGGUAUUAACGAAGCUACCAAGGUGUAGUGCGUGUAUGCUCGCCCGCACCAAGGGAAAUCCAAUAAACAUACUGCGCCCGGAGAUACUCUAACCAAUUUCUUUUCGGACAUGGGUUCGACUCCCAUCAGCUCCAUAA